ensembl:snRNA U2 U2 spliceosomal RNA
AUCACUUCUCAGCCUUUUGGCUAAGAUCAAGUGUAAUUCAUCCAUUUUAUCUAAUUUUUGUAACAAAUCGGCAUCAACUUGCCUAUUUAGCCAAUCAUCAAAUUAUCACAUGAAUGGAAGGUCAUAGACACAUAUCUGGAUGUUGAUCUUUGACAAAAUUAA